rnacentral:ncRNA from 2 species
AAGAAAUGCUAGAGGUGCCGUAAGGCUGAGAGGGAUAUGUAUCCUAACUCUUAUAACCUGAUAUGGAUAAUACCAGCGUAGGGAAGCAGAUUACUUAAUAU